UGCUUUGGGUGUGUUGUUGGUUACAUGCUGAAGAAAGCUGCAAGGAAAGGACACUCCCGUUAUGAUGCUUUUGAAACUCAAAAAGGUAUCUUUAAAUAGCAAAGCAAAUGAGCUGGUGAACAGACCACAGGAGCACAAAUUUGGCUGCACCUCAGGGAUUGGUAAUAUUUAAAUUUUUGCAUUCACCUCCCAAUUAAUUUCCACAUCCUUCUCAUUUCCAAACUUCUCUUUACUCUGCUUGACCUAUUUGUGAGUCUGUUAUCCCCACUGCAGACCUCAGAUUUUGAUGUCCUUUUUAUGCCGAAAAUCUCUCUGCUCAAAAAAAAAAAGCCCACUUUAAAUUUCCUUAAAGAAGAUAAGAAAAGCAUCAAGCCCAUAGGCAUAUAUUAGGUUUCAACACAGUAGCUGAAAUGAAUGUUAUCUCUUGACCCACUGAUUUCCCUUUCCCCUGAACUCAUAGCCUAUAACAUUUCCCAGUGAAUUAUCUUUAAUGUUGUUUCAUUGUUAUGAACAUUUCAGGUGUUUUGUUUCCCUAACCAUAUUAUCAUAAAACUGUUAAGCUCAAUUCCUUAUAUUUUACAGUUUGCUUUCUUUUUUCAAAGCACAGUGCAGUGUAUAACAUGGUUAUACAUAGAACAUGCUAAACUAAUUUUUUGUGUGAACAAAUAAUUUUUCCCACUGAAGAAUUUGUACCCAAACAUAUAGUUUACCCCUUGAUAUUUUACCUACUCACUUUACAAAUGGUUCAUGCAAUGCAGUUCAUGGACUACAACAUAUUGAGAUGGUAAUCAAAUUUUUCUUAUAUAGGGGCUCCAACUAGGAGGGCUGAUCAGAUUUAACUAUUUCAUUUGGCAGGUGAGGAAACAGGAAAAUUUAUUCAGAUAACUUGAACUUACUGAAGAUAAGAAAGGAAAAUUAUAGCAAUACCCUGAACAAAAGCCACACAAAACUUAAGCAGGUUAGCUGCAAUAUUCAGAUACAGUCCACAUUGAUUGCUAAUCCUGUGGUGCAGAGGCUCCAAGCAGAACUGGAAAUGGCUGCCAAUCCCAUCCCAGCCCUUCCUCCAUAAAGAGCGGUUCAUAUGCUCUCAAGUUCCUCCACCACACCUGGUCUCUGCUCCUGAGAACAAAGAUGUGGCAGCUUUUAAAGGAGACCCUGAGGAUGACAGAAGUUACCAGGACCUUGGGUGAAUGAUGACUGGGUGAGAAGGGAGAAAAUAAUGCUUCAGAUUCAGAAUCAUUCACCAACUGCUAAGAUAGGUAUUGUGAAUAUUGCUGCAUAAAAGAUAAUGGAAUAGCUCUAAAAAUUACUGUCCAUAAGACUUUUGGAGUCUCUAUAGGUGGUCUCCAUUAGUUAAUGGUGUAAUUUUGGUGUGGCUGCCCUACCUCUAGGAGAAUGAUUAAAUGGAGUUUUGAUAAUAGCAUGUAGAAAUAAGAAUUGGCAUCAUUUUGUUCACUCCAACUUACCACGCACUCACAUUUAAGGCUUCUUGGUAAGCUACAAUGAAUACAUCAACAUUAUGAGAAAUGAAGAUGACACUAUAAUGUAAUUACAUUUAAUUUAUGGAAUGCAGAAUAAUAACAUCCUGUAUACUAAGACAAGUAAGAGAAAGGGAAAAUCUAAUCUGGUUUGCUAAGCCUCUUUCCUUUCCACCUCUUUAGCAUUAACCAAGGCUCACUGUAACAUGUGUUAUAAGGAGAUGAAUUCACUGGUGUGAUUCUUUGUUAUUUUAUCUUCACCCAGAAAUGUAAUUAAGCAGCAAAUCAUAUUACUUUGAUUACAGAGACAAAGUAUGUCAGAAAUGGCAUUAUUACUGCAAAAUUAUAGAAAACACAGACUCCAGUCCCACUUCUAAUUUAUCACAAUAGUGAUAAAAGGUCUAACUGCCCCUAAACACUGAAAUUGGAUGAGAGUUAUCAGCAUUUUGUUAUUUAUAAGCAGAAGUGUUUUUUUUCACCCUUGUGGAAUUAAUUAUAUAAUUUAUGAUGUAUCUUCACUGCUUUUGAUGGUAGUAGUAUAUAUAACAGUAACAUUAUUUGCUGUUCUGCUUGGAAGAACUUUUCUCAAGCUCUUAUAGGCCUAUGAAUUCACAGGAUAAACUUACAAAUCACACAAGUAGUGUUUCUGAUUAAGAAAAUGAGGUACAAGUUCAAAGGUUAUGCAGUUCAAGUUUAUGAAGCAUUUCUCAGGAAUAAAAAAAAAACCAAAAACACCACCACCCACUUAAUUUCACAUGCCUCCCCACCCUGAGCCUCUGGGACAUAGUAAAAUCACUGGGGUAUACUCUCUUACUCUUAUGAGAUCUGCUAUGAGAUGUGCCCUUUUUGUUCUUAUUCAAGAUAGCCCCAGACACCAACAUCUGCCUGGAAGUGGCUUCAAAGUAUACUUAACUUCUUGUAUACUACUUUCUCCUCUGCCAGCCCACCCAGGGGGCACCUCAAAUGCCUCCCAUGCUCAGAGCUUUGGAAACAAACCACAGACUCCAGCAGUGACCCUCUGAUCAGCUGAGGGGACUUUAUCACCUGAUAUUUUCCUUUUAGGUGCUUUUAUCUUGUUAAAGCAACCAGGAUCAUUUUAUGAGGCCAUUCUCAGCUCACAUAUUGUUGUCCCAGGGGAGGUCUCUUUCCUCUUUUAAGACUUCCUAAUGUCAUUCUUCCUUCUCAACCCUUGCCCUAGCACUUCAGUACAGUGAUCUGAUUCUUCCAGGAUCUUUGUGGCAGGAGAGAAAAGGGAAGAACCUUUCUUUUUUAGGGUAAGAGCAAGAAGAAAGGCUCAGAGCUAGGAGUGACAUCGAGGCUGACAAUGUCGAAUUUUACUCUAGCCCUGUGAUUCUGGAAAACAGCAAAUGUUAAAGAAUUCCCCCUUCCUUUGUGUUCUAGGAAAUAGUGAACUGCAAAAAAUCACCCCUCUCCAUCUGACUUAAAUAGGACUCACAGAUGUCCCCUCCUUUCCCUAUGACAAGCCCAGAGGCAGACUCUCCAAAUUUCCAUUCUUCGCCUCAUAAAUGAUUAGCUGAAUUACUACUUGUUCCCAUUGGUUAAUCAGAAUAAUACUUGCUACCCAAAUUUGUUAAAUUCCUCUCUUUCUCCUGGUCCCUGAACUUUGACAUAUGCUCAGCCCCAGCCAGCACACAACCCCUCCUUAAAGUUCCCUGCCAACUAUAGGGUGGCCUUGGGGUAAAACAUUUCUGAUCUACUGUAGUCUGUCAGGCUGUCCUCUGUCCCACUUUCCCAAACCUGGUUCCUUCUAGCCUUGUUUGGUCCUCUCUAUAGAAAAAAACUGCUGCCUAAUGUUUGAGAUACUUCCAGAUCUCAUGCUCAGAAUGUUCUACCCAUUACAACAGUCUGUUUCUGCCAUCUUACCCUUUAUUGGUAUCUCAGGCCAAAUUAAAUGCCUAGACAUUUCUUUCCCAAAAAAUCAGUCUCUAUUUUUCUCUCUUUCACACACACACACACACACACACACACACACACACACACCCCUGUAGAAAGACUCCAGUAUGGCUAUUUACCUUUCUCUAAUAAGAGAACAGGUGUGAUGAUUGGUGAACUACUGAUAAGUAGUUUACCAUUGAAAAGCAAAGUUUUCUUUAUAUAUGAAUUUCUAUCUGCCUUUGGUCUUCACUCAAAUUGCUCGGCAAUCUCCAACCCCUUAUUGAGAUGUAGGUUUUAUAUAGACGUGUCUUUCAAAAGCCAUUGGUAAAGCCAGUCAGUUUAACUCAGAGGAAAAACAAGCUUAGAAAAAUGUAAGCAAUCCUUGUUUUAGUUGCUUCUUUUCUCUCUCAGUAAACAAAGCAUGCAUUUGCUAAAAAAAACCAAACUGCCAUAUUUGACUGAAUAAUUUAUGAUAAUUUUAUAUAGAAUAAGCAAUGCUUAUUCUAAAAUGGUAUUGUUGUGGGGUUUUUUUUUCAUUGUUGUUGUUAUUGUUCUUAUGGAGGAAGGUUCAUUCAUGUGCUUUAAGUUAAAAAAGUAUUUGUUUUCUUUAGCACACAUUACUAGCUAUGGCCUAUAUAGACUUUCAAGGUUUAAGUCUUUUCAAAUGAAAUUUGAAGGACCACUAUUCUUUCCUAUCAGAGUAAAACACAUUCAAAAUCCUAAUAAAUCUAUUUCUUUAAUAUGCCACUUAAAAUAUAAUAGUGCAAACAAAAACACAUAAUGGGUUCCUCUUGAGAGAAAGGAAAAUGUAUUCACUUCUGAUGAAAGAUCGUUUGAUAAUUCACUGUUGGCUUCACCACUUGAUUUAUAUCAUCUUCUCAUGUUAAUUUGUUUUUAAUUUUUUUCCUGCAUUCUAAGGUUUUUCUCAUUUCAGUGACAUAUACGUGACGGAUGAGGUUGAUGAACUACAAAAGUAAAGAUUGUAACUCAGAGGAGAAACUUAAAUUAUUCUGCAGUCCCAUAGAAUCUGUGCAAGAAACCGAGAAGUCUGGAUUUUCAAGGGCUUGAUCAUAGUAUUUUCAAAACAAGUGAUGAAAUCAACAACAGAAAAACAUUAAAACUGAGUAUAUUUCUUUAGCCGAUACUAAAUGACUCCCUGGAGUGUAUUUUUUCCAAAUCUUCAGCCAAUUUAAUUGUAUAUUCCAGAAGUGAUGGUGAAGUUAUAGAAGUGCUAUAAAAUCCAUUCUUUAUUAUAGAUAUUUAAUUUCAAAAUGUAUUCCUUUUAUAAACUUGAUUUUAAUCUAGGAAAAAGUAAAUAACUUAUUUAACUGUCUUCAGUUAAGGAGGGAAGCAGAAUAGAUGACAGUGCCUCAAGGUGAAACUCAUUGUUUUUAAAAAUAAUGCCUAAUGCCUUUACAAGUAUGGCCCAUGUACAUUCAUAUGGAAGCUCAACUACUUCAUUCCUAUUCUGUUUUCCACCAGUCAAGUUAGAAACUACUUAUUGUAUCAUUUUUAUUUAUUCUGUCUCAGUAAUGGGAAAUAUGUUUUGGUAAUCUUUUUUUAUCCAUGAUUAGAUUGCAUUAAUGUAUUUCAUGUAUUUUCUCAAUUGACCUUUCUUUUUUGUUGUUGUUGUUUUUGAGACAGUCUC